GGUCGGAUGCCCGAGUGGUCAGGGAGAGGUCUGCAAAACCUUGCACAGGAGUUCGAUUCUCCUUCCGACCUCCA
rnacentral:tRNA from 1 species